rnacentral:lncRNA from 1 species
CUUGAAUUGGGUAUACAAGAAAAGGCAUAUGCAAUAAGAGAACAUGUCCAAAUUCAUUAACGUAAAACUGAAAUAAAUAAUACCAAAAUAAAUUUGAAUAAGAUAAGCAAGGGUUUAUCAAUCCAAUUUGAAUGAAAUUAUUUAAACAUGAAAAACCUUUAGCCAAUGUUAGUGCCUUCAAGAAACUUAAGAAUCAAUUUACAUUGAUCAAAUUACAUGUGCUGUGUGUCCUAGCCAUUGUAACUCUGUUUGCCUGCAUCCAAGUACAAUAGACUACCAUUCAAAAAUUAAAAAAUAAAACAACAGAUUGAACUAGGAAAUGGAGAUCUGACCUUUAGUUUAGUUGAGUAUGCAAUAAUUCAGUUAAGCAAAUCCAUAAAAAUUAACAGAAUACAAUUCAAAGCAUUAAUUUUCGAAUUAGAUAAACAAAAUUAAAAUCUCAAUUGAGGUUAAAAUAGUGAUCUGACCAUUAACAAUAGCGUCUUGAGCUCGCGCACGAUUUUGUGAUAAAGUUUAAGCUUGAACUAGGACAUUGACUCACUAAUUUGGACGAGUGAAUGAAUCUAACCAUAAUCCCUUUAAUUUGGUGAAUUUACGACAGUCAAAGAUCGAAAUAAUGGAAGAAGACAAAAGUUUAACUAACAAGAGAUUCAGAGAAGUUGGAGCACGACGGGCGGUGCGUAUUCAAGCAGAGUGCCCAUUGGAGCAAAAGGUGGAGAUCUGAAGAGAGUCUUGUGGGCUUGUCGCGUUGCGGCAUGAUGGAUAUUCUGCGGCACGAUGUAACUUGUUAGGGUUUUGUAUGGUAUGGGUCUUAGAAUUUAACCAAUGAUGUUAAGGUUUCAUAUGGCAUAGGCCCUCGAAUUUGAGAGGUCGAAAUAGAGAAUUUUUAUAGGUAUGAAGAAGGAGAUGAUUAGAGAGAUGAGGUGGCUGGCCAUAGAAUUAGAACUUAGAGAAUUUUAGGUUUUGUUGAUUUUAGGGCUUUUUUUCUUGGUUUUUUUCUUUAUAUUGUCGUUUUUAUAAAUAUGUAAUAUGAUACUUUUAAUAUGAAAUAAACUACUAGUUUGGCCC